rnacentral:rRNA from 1 species
GACGAACGCUGGCGGCGUGCUUAACACAUGCAAGUCGAACGGCAAGGCCCUGCUUUUUUGGUCUUCUCGAGUGGCGAUCGCGUGCGUAACACGUGUGUAACCUGCCCUUCUCUUUGGUAUAACUUCACGUAACUGGGGCUACUCCCGGAUAGCAUCUCCUGCUGCAUUGUGAGGGUGGGAACGUCUCGGCGGUUGCGGUUGGAUUGGCGGCUUAUCAGCUUGUUGGUGGGGUAGUGGCUUACCCAGGCUUUCACCGGUAGCCGGCCUGAGAGGGUGACCGGCGACAUUGGGACUGAGAUACGGCCCAGACGCGUACGGGAGGCAGAAGUGGGGAAUAUUGCACAAUGGGCGGAAGCCGGAUGCAGAAACGCCGCGGGCGGGAUGACGGUCUGCGGGGUGUAAAAAGCUUUCGCCUGUGACGAAGCGGGAGUGACGGUAAUGAGUAAAGAAGCACCGGCUAACUACGUG